rnacentral:siRNA from 1 species
UACAAAGAUAGUUGAUGGCGGUCU